GCCUUGGUGGAUCUGUGGUAGAUCGUCCCAGCUUUAUAAGUGGUAGAGGUGAACAUCUAUGGGAAGACGGAGGUUCGAAUCCUCCCCAAGGCA